UACGAAGGGUGCAAACGUUGCUCGGAAUUAUUGGGCGUAAAGCGCACGUAGGCGGCUUAGCAAGUCGGAAGUGAAAGCCCUUGGCUCAACCAAGGAAGUGCUUUCGAAACUGCUGAGCUUGAGUAGUUAAGAGGAUCGCGGAAUUCCCGGUGUAGAGGUGAAAUUCGUAGAUAUCGGGAGGAACACCGGUGGCGAAGGCGGCAUCCUGGACCGGUAUUGACGCUGAGGCGCGAAAGCCAGGGGAGCAAACGGG
rnacentral:rRNA from 1 species